GAUGAACGCUAGCGGCAGGCCUAAUACAUGCAAGUCGAACGGUGUCUUCGGACAUAGUGGCGCACGGGUGCGUUACACGUAUGCAACCUACCUUACAUUGGGGGAUAGCCUUUUGACAGGGAGAUUAAUACCGCAUAAGACAGUAGCUGGGCAUCCAGCAGCUGUUAAAGAUUUAUCGAUGUAAGCUGGGCAUGCGUCCAAUUAGCUAGUUGGUGAGGUAACGGCUCACCAAGGCAAUGAUUGGUAGGGGAACUGAGAGGUCAAUCCCCAACACUUGCACUGAGAUACGGGCAAGACUCCUCCGGGAGGCAGCAGUAGGGAAUAUUGGGCAAUGGACGCUAGUCUGACCCAGCCAUGCCGCGUGCAGGAUGAAGGCGUUAUGCGUUGUAAACUGCGUUUAUACAGGAAGAAACGACUCUUGCGAGAGGCAUUGACGGUACUGUAUGAAUAAGCACCGGCUAACUCCGUGCCAGCAGCCGCCGCCGUAA
rnacentral:rRNA from 1 species